GCCGCACUCCCACAAACAUCUACGACCGCACCUACAUAUUUUUGCAUGCAUGUUUACAAUUCUAAGUUUAAACAGCCAAUUCGGUUCUUGGUAACAAUUACAAUUAAACGUCGAUUGCUUGUUUAAAAUUAGAAUUGUAUAAAACAUGCAAAAAUAUGUAGGUGCGGUCGUAGAUGUUUGUGGGAGUGGC
rnacentral:miRNA from 1 species